AGCGGUAUGGCGCAGAGGAAGCGCACCGAGCUUACAGCUUGGAGGAGGUUCCUCGAUCGAAACGAGGUGUUGCUA